UAAGACAGAGGGCUCAAACGUUGUUCGGAAUUACUGGGCAUAAAGCGCACGCAGGCGGCUUGCUAAGUCGAUUGUGAAAUCCCCCGGCUCAACCGGGGAACUGCAUUCGAUACUGGCAGGCUCGAGGACGGGAGGGGUAAGUGGAACUCCAGGUGGAACGGUGAAAUGUGUAGAUAUCUGGAGGAACACCGGUGGCGAAAGCGGCUUACUGGCCCGUAUCUGACGCUCAUGUGCGAAAGCUAGGGGAGCAAACGGGAUUAGAUACCCCGGUAGUCCUAGCUGUAAACGAUGGGCACUGGGCAGUGGGAAUUCCUAUGAUUCUCCCUGCCGUAGCAAAUGUGUUAAGUGCCCCGCCUGGGGAGUACGUUCGCAAGGAUA
rnacentral:rRNA from 1 species